CACUUGUGGUGUGAUUUGAUUUAAUUUGAAACAUGUGGUAAUUUUUAUCGUCAAUUAUAAACUUGGUAGUGAACACGCAGCAUUACUUGUAAUAAAUGGUAGCAAUAAAUCUCUUAAAAUUCAUAGAAGUUCUACUCUAACGUUUUAGUGAUUUAUUUUCUAUAUCAACAGGUUAUUUUUAGUGCCGCUAGUGAAAUAACCAGAUACCCAUUUAUAAAAAAGAGUAAUUUUUAGGCCGUCAUGACUCUAUCAACAAAAUUCUGCUCCUCCCUACCAGUACUAAUAUUACUUAUUUCAUUUUUCCUGACAAGUCAAGCAUUCCAAUGCUUACCAAACUUCUGUGACGGCAUAAGAUGCGAAGAGAACGUGACCUCAUGCGGUAAAGGAUUUCACUUGAUGACAACCACAUGCGGGUGUUGCCAGAUGUGUAAACAAAAUCUGCAGGAAAAUGCAUCUUGUUUUAAUUUCGGAGGUCUGUCAAUUCCGUGGAACACUCAGUGUGACGAUGGUUUAGUUUGUUGCAAAGGAGUAUGUUUGAAACCAGAAAAUUGUGUUCAAUAAUGUUAAAAAUUUAAUAGGAAAUCUAUAUUGAAUAUACAGGGUGAGUCUUAAAUAAGUGCAAAUAUUUUAGGGCUGGUAGAUCUCGAUAAAAGAAACAUAUUUUCUUUUCAUCGUUUUUCAAAUAAGUAAAUUAAGUUAUUUUACUUUCAAAAAUUGUCUUAAAUUUUGAGAACCACUGGAUUUUUUCUGGGUUUUCUUUCUUGUAAAUUUAAUCUACUACCA